GCAAAGUUUGAACAGCCAGUAGUCUAUCAACCAAGUACUUUUACUGAUUUUUUGUCAAAUGUAAAUGUUUAACUUCGGUAUUCCUCUUGUAGAGUUUACACACUACUGCACACUCUCUUAUCCUUGUACACACUGUUUGAGUUAUUUUAAUGUCAAUAUCUGCCAAUAGAAAAUAUAAGAAAUUCUUUCCUGUUCCUAUGUAACUUAUAUCAAUUUGAUACUACUUACAAUGAGUGCUGUGAAUGCCAAACCAGAUCUGUUUUUAACCCAUUUGUGCACACAACUGACAUUUUUAAUUUCCUUUAGUGGAAAUGUUCUCUGAGCUUGCCUUAGAAAUAAGUUCAAACCGUUUGGCAGAAAAGUGAGUUUUUCUUAUCAUACUAUAUGUAUUUUGGUACAUGUAACUACUGUUUUUGGAAUAGACUGCAAGGUCCAGUGUGCCCAAAUACUAGAUAAAGCAUGAUAAGAGAAUGGUUGUAUCUCAGAAACUACAAAGAGCAAAAUCAAGUAUUUGGUAUCUAUGAUCUCAUAACAAGUUGAAUGUCAAAGAUAUGUACACAUAUUCAGUGUAAAA